GUGAGUCAUCGAAUCUUUGAACGCACAUUGCGCCCGGCAGUAAUCUGCCGGGCAUGCCUGUCCGAGCGUCAUUUCAACCCUCGAACCUCCGUUUCCUCAGGGAAGCUCAGGGUCGGUGUUGGGGCGCUACGGCGAGUCUUCGCGACCCUCCGUAGGCCCUGAAAUACAGUGGCGGUCCCGCCGCGGUUGCCUUCUGCGUAGUAAGUCUCUUUUUGCAAGCUCGCAUUGGGUCCCGGCGGAGGCCUGCCGUCAAACCACCUAUAACUCCAGAUGGUUUGACCUCGGAUCAGGUAGGGUUACCCGCUGAACUUAAGCAUAUCAAUAAGCGGAGGA
rnacentral:misc_RNA from 1 species